rnacentral:sRNA from 1 species
UCGUUGAAGUGGCUGUGGCCUUGGAGUGGGUAUGGCCUUUUUGAGUAGAUGUGGUCUUGGAGGAGAUGUGGCACUGUAAGAGUGGGCUUUGAGGUCUCCUAUGCUUAAAUUCCACCCAGUGUCAAAUUCCAGUCUCUUCCUGGCUGCCUUUGGAUCAAGAUGUAGAGCUCUGUGCUCCUCCAGCAUCAUGUCUACCUGUACACUGCCAUAUUUCCUGCCAUGACAUUAAGGGACUGAACCAGUAAACCGAAAUCACCAAAGAUUAUCAUCACAGCCUGGGAGUGGAGCCAUCUCCGCACUUGGUGACAAGGUCCAGCCCAGUGACCUCUCAAACCUCAACAUGCUUAGGAGCCACCUGCCAGUGUAAAGUUCCAAAACUGGGCAGCAAGACCUUAGAGCUCCAAGGAGUUCCCAGGUCAGGCAGUCGGAAGUCCCACCCAGAAGAGGCCAAUCUUCCCCAGUGACCACCUGGUUCACACAGGCUCUUUCCCACCAGGUAACAAAGCCAGGAAUGGCUCGCAGCUCAGUCCCAUCAUUGCACACAGGGCACAACAGCUGGGCCUUCAUCUAAGAUCUUAGGACUGCUGACAUUCCUGGCUUAUUUCAUUUGCUGAUCGUUUGUCCUUGUCUUCUAAUAGAAAGCAGAUUGCAAAAUUAGUUAGGGGUGGAAUCAAUGGCAGCCAUUUUCGAGUGGGGUUAAUAGGAUAGACUUUGUGACUUCCAAGAGAAUGCUCUUUGAGGGCAGGGGCUUAGGUUUUCUUCUCAGCAGCAUCCUUAGCAGGUAGGGAGAGUAGAGCCUUCCUGAACAAUCAGAGACAGAGAGCUGUAAAAUGUGCCGUGUGUGUGUGUGUGUGUGUGUGUGUGUGUGUGUGUGUGUGUGUGUGUGUGUGUGGUGUCCCUCAAGGGGCAAUGAGGGACAGGGGUAAAACUUGGGUACCACAGACCACUUCAAGGCCACUUCCAAUCCUAGCUUAGCUGUAGGAUUUUGCAGGGCACAAACACCAGAGCGAAUGUUCCUCAUGAAGUUCUAGGUAGGUACAUAAAAUCAGAGCAGGGGACAUAGUAGAGGGCAGAUCAACAAAAUCCAGAGUCCCCAACCCCCAAACCCUCAAUCCUAUAAGGGAAUGUGGUGAGUUGCCAAAGCAGAGAUCUCAGAAGCAAAUAUCAAAGCCAGGGAGCACAGCCAGGAAUCCCAGACCAGAGAGAUAAAGAGAAAGAGAAGUUCGUAGAUCACAGCUUAGAGGGGCCAAUCGGGAGCAGGCAUUGGAAGCUUGCUUUAAUGUGCUUCCAGAGCCAAGAUGGGGUGUGUGAGUCAAGGUUAUAAGGGCCAUGGAGGCUGGACAGAAUGGGAUUUCUGGAGCUUCUUGCUCCUCAGAGCAGAACCUGGAAAAAUAGUAUGAGGAGGUAGAAGCCAUACAGCCGUCUGCAAAGGGGGUGAGAACCUGGUUAAUCAGCCUGAAUCCAGGACUCAGUGUCUGCACUGUCACCAAAGAGCUGGCAUACACCUGCCUCAGUGUCCCUGGCAGGACUCAGGCUAGGUUUCAAGAAAGACUGGAAAGAAUCCCACUAAGUCUGCACUGUCCCUUCUGUGUUACAGGGUGGUAGCACAUAUUUGAAAUCCCAAUCUUUGCCACAGUCCGGGGUUAAAUUUCAUCCUUCACUAAAUCGUGAGUUUGACGCCAACCUGAGCUAUGUGAAAUCCUAUCUCGAAGCAAUGUUACUAAAGCAAAAAGGCAGAAUGAAAGCAUUAUGACAAAGUUCUAACUCCCAGCUUGGCCUUGUGGGUACAGGAUGGAAAAAACCACAAACAAACAUUAAUCUUUUCAAAAUUGUAUUUAAAAAAUAAAUAAAGUCUGACACUCAAAAGACUCAGGCAGUCAUCUGAGGACUUCCAAUUCCUUUUAGAAUGUGCUCCCCCGACUGCCAGCGGGAUACAUUUCCCUCCAAUGGAGCUGGUCAUCCGCUGUUGUCUUCUCCUGCAAUUCCACAGCGUCCUGGGCAACACAUCAUCCUUACAGCAGUGGAGUUACUUUACCCACAAGUCUCUCACCCAGCUUCAGGCAAAGCCUGACCACCCACCAUCAGUCCACCUGCUUUCCAGAGAGCUGACUGAGGCACCAAGGGAGGCAGAAGGUCUGCAGGGCACUUUCGAGCCCCUGGCACAAUCGCUACAUAAAAGUGAUGCCCCGUGUAGCCCCUGGACCAAAUGGCUCAGAGCACUACCUUCUGAGGCCACAAGAAAAUGUGCCCUAGACAAAUGGUGCCUCAGACCACUUGAGAGAAAAUCCCAGAUCAAUCCUUCAGGAGGCGACAGGUAACGGUCCCUGGAGGGGGAGGGGCGACUCUAACGUCUGGGAAAGGGGUUCUGCUCCUUGCUUCUCUGAGUGCCUUCCUGAGGCUGAUGGGACACUCCCUCACCGGUCUGCCUGAGCCUACAACUUCUCCAGGCCCGCCCUAGAUUCCUCUCCCCUGCACCAAAGGACUACAUGUGUGAGGGGCCGCGUUACAAGUGGACGCUCCGAAAGGCGACUCUGCUUCUGUGCCGGGUUUAUCACGGUUGCCUCGAGCCACAGCCUCCCAACCCCUACCCUGUGCAAAUACACAGCAGAUCGCAGGCAACAGCAGGACUGCGGGAAGGACUGAAACUGCUCUUGCAUCCCUGAACAGUGGGACAAAUACUCUUACUGAUGUUUUUAUUCCACUUGUGAGGAAAACUUGACCUUGACACUGCAGGAACGCUAAACUGCUUCUUCUCCAGACACCACAUUCAUCUGUCUGAUUGGCAGAGUCUGGGAGACAAAUCAGAGGGGAAAUUUGAGUUUGGCUCUCACAGCGAGGAGGCAGAACUCACAUCGGAUCGCUGCUCAUCUGAGAGAAGGCUGCCUGGGAGAGGAUGAGCACAAGAGUACAUAAAUCACGCUCAGCAGUAUUAGUUGCUAGAGGAAUGCAAUCAAAACCACUGUGGUGAUGGAACGAGCUCUGGGAAUCCCAAGCAACUAGGCUCAACCACCUGGCACACCACACCAAUCACAGAGACACAAGGUACUGACAGGCAGAGAAGAGUUGAGCAAUGUGGUAUGUUUGGACGUGCAGAUAAAGAGGCUCAGUGGCUACAGGUCCAUCAUCCGGGCACUGAUGUGAACUUUGGGCUUAUAUAGGGGAUGGGUUUCAAAAGCAUGACUAAGCAGGCUUGGUCUCUGAGUGGCCUGGUUGGUCCUUAUCUCUGUGGUCUGUUGACCAUUAUCUGAGCUCUGCUUCCUUAUGACAAGCAGAAGUUCCCACUGUCUUUGAGGCACUGCAGUUCCUGCAAUUAAUUAUCCUUACACAUUUAUCACCACGUCUGGAGACAUUCAAGCAUCCUUACAGAGUCCAGAACAGGGCAUCAUGAAAGCUGUGAUAAGAUACCUCUGUGUCUUGAACUGUUGGAGACAGGUUAGCCUUGGUUUGUAAACAUAUUUCUUUAAUACUUAGCAGAGCUCAGGGUGAGUUAAAGCAUGUGAUGAUGAAGGUUGCAGAGUAAUGGAGACAAACACAGAUGAAGGUAGAGAUCCCAGGCUUUUGUUGCCUUGGGACCCCAAAGUAUGAGUGAAUACUUUAUAGGAAAGCACUUUCUAGGCACCUGUGACAGAAAUAGUAUCUUACUUAAAUAUUCAUUAUAUUCAUCAAGAUUCAUUAAGCUACUUAGCUAAUUAUUAUUAUUUUUCUUUGAUAAGACAUGGCCUCUAUGUAG